UUCCUGGUGAUCUAGUGGUUAGGAUUCGGCGCUCACCACCACGGCCCAGGUUCGAUUCCUGGACAGGAAA